UUAUCAAAGCCAGCCACAAAUGCCACAUGUAAAGAAGCAAACAUCCGGAGCGGCUUCCUGCAAGCCUUGCUUCCCUCAACUCUAGAGAUUUACUGGUGUGGGGGUGGGUAUCUGGAGUACGAGCCUGGCGCGCCCGUCUGCUGAAGCUAGCAGCGGUGUCAUACUCGCACACUGCGGGAAUAACCGACUGCGCCACAUCCCCAAGCGGGACCCUAGGCUGGAAAGGCUGGGCAAGAAGGCGACUAAAGUAACAAGCUGAGACCGCUUGGGGCCUGUAGCAAGCGGCACUGCGACUAGAAGUGGGGGCCCUGUGCAUACACUGAGCUACAACGCCAGCUGAAGACUCUGUGAAUGAAUUUACUGACGGUUUUGUCAAUAUUCUGCAUUGAGAGAAAAGAUGGUGAGAGGAUCAUCCAGCCUUCCUCCUGCCUCCUGGGGCGCUUCUCACCCACAGUCAUCCCAGUAGAGAAGUCAAGACCAUACCCGAUCCUUGCAUACUCGGCAUUCUCUCCUGGACAAUGAAGACCAGAGGGAUCUAUUGUGAGGGUGGUUAAAAUAAUACACAGCAUACACCGAUUAGAAUGGUUACAAUCAGACUGAUAGUGCCAAGUGUUGACAAGAAUACGGAGAAACAAAUCUUGAUGCAUUCGUGACAGAAAUGGAAAAUGCUCAUCUAAAGGAAAAAGAAAAUCUGAGUUCAUUCUGCGGCUCUUAUGUCUGGCUGGAGAAUAAAGCUACAAAUUUGAUUCAAAUUCUUCUAGAGACCUCAGGUAUCAGAUAAGUCUAAAACACCUUUGAACACAUCCUUUUGGCGCAUUCUCAUUGUAUAUAGUACUGGAUUUCAUAAAGUCAUUUUCAUGCCUCACUGUGGUGCCCUCAUCUUCUUCCCCUUCUCUCCUAGACAUACUUCUUAAAUCCCUGCAUCUAAUAGUAGCAUAUGCAGAAACAGGAGCACACUAGCAUGCUGGUAGCUUCCUGGAAGCGCUUAUGGAAAUGCUACAGAAGUCAGCAAGGUCAUGAGACCAUAGGGAACAUUGCAGCUAACACACUGUCCACAGGCAUGGCCCAACCAUCUCAGGCAAAAAACGUCUCUGCCUGUUUCCAUCUGCUCAUCUUCAAAAUGAAAACAAUAACCGCCUGUAAAGGGAAUGCAGAUCGCACUGCACCCCAACACUCAAUCUAAGUGUCACACAAAAGGAAAUAUAAAAACUUCUGGGCUGGCGGUACGGUCAGUGGAUGAGAACAUGCUUGGUGUGAAAAAGACCCUAAUUCAAUCUCCAGCACUGUCAGAACACAAGAAAAGAAAAUCUAAGAAAUUCAGCUUAUGUUUAAUUAUGUCACAUUUGAAAUUUUGCUGUUGCUUAUGCUUUAUGAGUAUACAUCCUAUAAUAAUAUAGUAGCAUAUUUGCAUACUGUAUAUUAAAUUGGCAAUCACAA